AUGGGACUAGUGGUGGAGGAAGCUGCUGGUGAGAAAGGCAAUUAUGCAGAGUGCACUGUGAAAUGGAGUCUCCCAAAUCAGCAAAGCAUCUGGAAAAUUAAACCGUGAUGACACUUCACGAAAUGCCCCUGUUUUGGCUGUUCUUUUCACAGUGAUAGCACCUGGGAGACCUUCUGCAGACCCCAAGGCUCUGUGGUGCUGCGUGCUGCACCAGUCCUACCAGAACUGAGGAGCUUAUUGUAUGAUGAAGGGCCCCAGACAUUUAUCUUCUGUUUCUGUUGAUGGACUGAAUAAGCUGCUGACCAGUCUUAUCAAUUGAAGUAAAUGGCAAGACCCCCUUUAGCUUCCGUGAUUCAAAUGGAGCCUAGUAAGUGCUACAGAGUCCAGAUGUUCUGCAGCUGUUAAUCUCCCAGAAUUCAUCUCCCAUGGCAGAAGCCUAAUCCACAGAAAAGAGUAAUGCCAUUCCUACAUAACUGUUGGGUGGAACACUUGCCUGGGCAUGUGAAGAUUUGAGUCUGAAUUACAGUGGAACACAUAACUAAUAGAGUAGGCAACACAUUUUUCAAAUAAACUGAAAUACUUGGAAACUUUCUAAGUUUUAUUUUAGUAAGUGAACUGGCAACCACUAGGAAGUGAUAUAUAUCAAUAUCUACUAUACUGUUUGAAGCUACUUCUAGUCAUGGAAUCAUAGAAUCAUAGAAUGUUUUGGGUUAGAAGGGGCCUUUAAGAUCAUCUAGGUCCAGCCUCCCUGUUAUAGGCGGGGACACCUCCAUCUUGACCAGGUUGCUCACAGCUCCAUCCAGCCUGGCCUUGAAUGCUUCCAGGGAGGGGGCAUCCACAGCCUCACUGGGCAACCUAUACUGGAACUUGUUUUGUGAGAUUGUGAUGAUAAUAAUUCAACAUAUUAUUACAUAUGAACUUGUGAUAUAGAUGACUUUGAUUUGUUAUAAAUCACUAAGUUUUAUGUGAUUGACAUUGGCUCUUUGAGAAAUUAGAUUAUGAACUUGACAGGUAAAACCAUCAACUUUGCAUAACCAUAAGGAAAAGCCACCAUAACACUGUUAGUUAAGAAGGUUAUAGAAAGAAGAGGGAAAGAGAACCUUACUUUGUCUUCUCUCUGUGCAGGAAAAGAGCACUGAUAGCUGCUAAUUGGUUACUCUAAUUCCAAGUGACACCAGAGCCUAGUUUCAAAAGUUUUAUUCUCUAGUUUUAAAGUAUAGCACAUAUUAUAUAUGAUUGUACUGUGAUAUAGGUAUCACUCCUCUUUAUUAUUUUCAGUGAUUGUGAACUUUCCUAAAUAGCCAAAUACAGAAGCUCAUUGUGUUUUGCUUCUUGUUUUUCAUCCAUGCUAUAGCCAAUGACUGUUUCUUUCCACAUACAUGGCAGUCACAGAUGUUCUUUUUCC
ensembl:lncRNA